rnacentral:rRNA from 1 species
CAGUCGCCACGGUAAUACGAAGGGGGCUAGCGUUGUUCAGAUUUACUAGGCGUAAAGGGCGCGUAGGCGGGCUGAUAAGUCAGGGGUGAAAUCCCAAGGCUCAACCUUGGAACUGCCUUUGGUACUGGAGAUCUUGAGUUCGGAAGAGGUUGGUGGAACAGCUAGUGUAGAGGUGAAAUUCGUAGAUAUUAGCUAGAACACCAGUGGCGAAGGCGGCCAACUGGUCCGAUACUGACGCUGAGGUGCGAAAGCGUGGGGAGCAAACAGGAUUAGAUACCCCAGUAGUCCCUGUCUCUUAUAC